rnacentral:rRNA from 1 species
GACGAACGCUGGCGGCGUGCUUAACACAUGCAAGUCGAACGGAAAGGCCCUGCUUUUGUGGGGUGCUCGAGUGGCGAACGGGUGAGUAACACGUGAGUAACCUGCCCUUGACUUUGGGAUAACUUCAGGAAACUGGGGCUAAUACCGUAUAGGAGCUCCUGCUGCAUUGUGGGGGUUGGAAAUUUUCGGCGGUUGGGGAUGGACUCGCGGCUUAUCAGCUUGUUGGUGGGGUAGUGGCUUACCCAGGCUUUGACGGGUAGCCGGCAUGAGAGGGUGACCGGCGACAUGGGGACUGAGAGACGGACCAGACGCCUACGGGAGGCAGUAGUGGGGAAUAUGGCACAAUGGGCGGAAGCCUGAGGCAGCAACGCCGCGUGCGGGAUGACGGCUUUCGGGUUGUAAACCGCUGUCGCCUGUGACGAAGCGGGAGUGACGGUAAUGGGUAAAGAAGCACCGGCUAACUACGUG